CUCACCAAGGCGACGAUGCAUAGCCGACCUGAGAGGGUGAUCGGCCACAUUGGGACUGAGACACGGCCCAAACUCCUACGGGAGGCAGCAGUAGGGAAUCUUCGGCAAUGGACGAAAGUCUGACCGAGCAACGCCGCGUGAGUGAAGAAGGUUUUCGGAUCGUAAAACUCUGUUGUUAGAGAAGAACAAGGAUGAGAGUAACUGUUCAUCCCUUGACGGUAUCUAACCAGAAAGCCACGGCUAACUACGUGCCAGCAGCCGCGGUAAUACGUAGGUGGCAAGCGUUGUCCGGAUUUAUUGGGCGUAAAGCGAGCGCAGGCGGUUUCUUAAGUCUGAUGUGAAAGCCCCCGGCUCAACCGGGGAGGGUCAUUGGAAACUGGGAGACUUGAGUGCAGAAGAGGAGAGUGGAAUUCCAUGUGUAGCGGUGAAAUGCGUAGAUAUAUGGAGGAACACCAGUGGCGAAGGCGGCUCUCUGGUCUGUAACUGACGCUGAGGCUCGAAAGCGUGGGGAGCAAACAGGAUUAGAUACCCUGGUAGUCCACGCCGUAAACGAUGAGUGCUAAGUGUUGGAGGGUUUCCGCCCUUCAGUGCUGCAGCUAACGCAUUAAGCACUCCGCCUGGGGAGUACGACCGCAAGGUUGAAACUCAAAGGAAUUGACGGGGGCCCGCACAAGCGGUGGAGCAUGUGGUUUAAUUCGAAGCAACGCGAAGAACCUUACCAGGUCUUGACAUCCUUUGACCACUCUAGAGAUAGAGCUUCCCCUUCGGGGGCAAAGUGACAGGUGGUGCAUGGUUGUCGUCAGCUCGUGUCGUGAGAUGUUGGGUUAAGUCCCGCAACGAGCGCAACCCUUAUUGUUAGUUGCCAUCAUUUAGUUGGGCACUCUAGCAAGACUGCCGGUGACAAACCGGAGGAAGGUGGGGAUGACGUCAAAUCAUCAUGCCCCUUAUGACCUGGGCUACACACGUGCUACAAUGGGAAGUACAACGAGUCGCAAAGUCGCGAGGCUAAGCUAAUCUCUUAAAGCUUCUCUCAGUUCGGAUUGUAGGCUGCAACUCGCCUACAUGAAGCCGGAAUCGCUAGUAAUCGCGGAUCAGCACGCCGCGGUGAAUACGUUCCCGGGCCUUGUACACACCGCCCGUCACACCACGAGAGUUUGUAACACCCGAAGUCGGUGAGGUAACCUUUUGGAGCCAGCCGCCUAAGGUGGGAUAGAUGAUUGGGGUGAAGUCGUAACAAGGUAGCCGUAUCGGAAGGUGCGGCUGGAUCACCU
rnacentral:rRNA from 1 species